UCGGGAAUUUUGGGCAAUGGGCGCAAGCCUGACCCAGCAACGCCGCGUGAGGGAUGAAGGCCUUCGGGUCGUAAACCUCUGUCGGGAGGGAAGAACGGUCUCUGGGUGAACAAUCCAGGGGCCUGACGGUACCUCCAAAGGAAGCGCCGGCUAACUCCGUGCCAGCAGCCGCGGUAAUACGGAGGGCGCAAGCGUUGUUCGGAAUCAUUGGGCGUAAAGCGCGUGUAGGCGGCUUGGCAAGUCGGGUGUGAAAGCCCGGGGCCCAACCCCGGAACUGCACUCGAAACUGCCUCGCUAGAGUCCCGGAGAGGAAGGCGGAAUUCCCGGUGUAGAGGUGAAAUUCGUAGAUAUCGGGAGGAACACCAGUGGCGAAGGCGGCCUUCUGGACGGUGACUGACGCUGAGACGCGAAAGCGUGGGGAGCGAACAGGAUUAGAUACCCCCGUAGUCC
rnacentral:rRNA from 1 species